AUCAGGUUUUCCAUAUGACUGAAAAGAAAAGGAGCUGCCUUAAAUAGUGACUCUUCAAUUUGUGAACUGUGGUGCACACUGAGCCACCCCACCGAGAUGACUUUUCAUUUGGAAUGGCACAGUACUCUAUCAAAUAUACACAUGCAUGAAAAAUAUUUUUCAAAUAAAGAUGUCCAAGUGACUUAAUUCUGGCCAGUGAAAUAUGAUCCAUCAAGGAAGGUUCCAGGAAACUUGUAAAGGGGAAAUACACGUGCAGCAAUGCCCCAUGCACUGUCUCUUUCUUCCUGCCUCUAGAUGAUCCUGGUGUCCUGCAGUUCUUUGAAAAAGCAACAGAAGCACGAAGACAUUGCAGUUUGAGAAAAAUUAACACAAAUGUGCAUUCUUUGCACCUACGACCUGUGAAGGAGCACAGAAUACACUGGAGCAUCUCUAUUCUUCUUGAUUUGAUGAUAUCAUGCACCAAUGCUUUUAAUUGUAUUCCUUGCCAAGCAGAAGACUAUUACACAAAGGAAGAAACAGAGCCUUAGAACUGAUAAGAGCUUGUGCAUUGUGAAUUGUUCCACAGUGUGGGAGAGUCCCCAAUGAACCCUUGUUCACCACUUCAUCUCCUUCAUUUUGAAAGUGUGUGCUACAACAUGCUUUGUGACUGGAUGGAGAGAUUGCCCCUCUUCAAGGUUACCACAAGUAAUUAAUACCUUCAUUUUUUUUUCUUU
rnacentral:lncRNA from 1 species